UAGUUUUUGAUGUCGCAGAUACUGCAUCAGGAACUGAUUGGAUAAGAAUCAGCCACCAUCAGUUCCUAAUGCAUUGCCUUCAGCAUCUAAACA
rfam:Pongo abelii chromosome 2a.